rnacentral:pre_miRNA from 1 species
AAAAUACUCCCUCUGUCACAUAUUAAGUGCCGAAAUAUUACAUGUAUCUAUAUGCUUUUUAGGUAUAGUUACAAGCAUAUUUGGACAAAUUUGAGUCACUUAAUUUGUGAUGGAGGGAGUAGAAU